rnacentral:rRNA from 1 species
UACGAGGGGGGGCGAGCGUUGUUCGGAAUUAUUGGGCGUAAAGGGUGCGUAGGCGGUUUGGUAAGUCUUAUGUGAAAUCUACAGGCUCAACUUGUAGUCUGCAUGAGAAACUGCCGGGCUUGAGUGUGGGAGAGGUGAGUGGAAUUCCUGGUGUAGCGGUGAAAUGCGUAGAUAUCAGGAGGAACACCUGUGGCGAAAGCGGCUCACUGGACCAUAACUGACGCUGAUGCACGAAAAGCUAGGGGAGCAAACAGG